rnacentral:rRNA from 1 species
CACGUAGGGGGCAAGCGUUGUCCGGAUUCAUUGGGCGUAAAGAGCUCGUAGGCGGUUCGAUAAGUCGGGUGUGAAACCUCCAGGCUCAACCUGGAGACGCCACCCGAUACUGUCGUGACUAGAGUCCAGUAGGGGAGCGUGGAAUUCCUGGUGUAGCGGUGAAAUGCGCAGAUAUCUGGAGGAACACCGAUGGCGAAGGCAGCCUCCUGGGCCAACACUGACGCUCAUGCACGAAAGCGUGGGGAGCAAACAGG